rnacentral:rRNA from 1 species
GGGUCAGUAGGUUGGUCGUGCCACCGGUACGUACUGGUCUCACUGAUUCCUCCUUCCUGAAGAACCGUAAUGCCAUUAACUUGGUAUUGCGGGGAAACAGGACUGUUACUUUGAAAAAAUUAGAGUGUUUAAAGCAAGCUAACGCUUGAAUACAUUAGCAUGGAAUAAUGAAAUAGGACGAUCGAUCCUAUUUUGUUGGUUUCUAGGAUUGACGUA